rnacentral:rRNA from 1 species
UACGGAGGAUGCAAGCGUUAUCCGGAAUUAUUGGGCGUAAAGCGUCCGCAGGUGGUUUGGUAAGUCCGCUGUUAAAGCCAGUCGCUUAACGACUGAACAGCAGUGGAAACUGCCAGACUUAGAGAGCAGUAGGGGUCACGGGAAUUCCCAGUGUAGCGGUGAAAUGCGUAGAUAUUGGGAAGAACACCAGUGGCGAAGGCGCGUGACUGGGCUGCAUCUGACACUCAUGGACGAAAGCUAGGGGAGCGAAAGGG